AGCGAACGCUGGCGGCAGGCUUAGCACAUGCAAGUCGAGCGGGACUCCUCGGAUGUUAGCGGCAGACGGGUGAGCAACACGAGGGAACGCACCCUUCGGUUCGGCAACAUUCUGGGAAAAUGGAGCUAGUACCGGAUUAGCACUUAUGGGGAAAGGUUGACUGGCGAAGGAUUGGCCCGCGUCUGAUUAGUUUGCUGGUGAGGUGACGGCCUACCAAGGGGCGGGUCAGUAGCUUGUCAGAGAGGAUGACCAGACACACAGGGACUGAGACACGGCCCAGACUCCGACGGGAGGCAGGAGUGAGGAAGAUUGGAGAACGAAGACUAGCCUGAUCCAGCCAUGCCUGGAGAAUGAUGAAUGCCGUAAGGUAGAAAAGUUCUUGUGUCCGAGAAGAUAAUGACGGUACCGAAAGAAGAAGCCCCGGCUAACUUCGUG
rnacentral:rRNA from 1 species